GUAGGUGGCAAGCGUUGUCCGGAAUUAUUGGGCGUAAAGCGCGCGCAGGCGGUUCUUUAAGUCUGAUGUGAAAGCCCACGGCUCAACCGUGGAGGGUCAUUGGAAACUGGAGAACUUGAGUACAGAAGAGGAAAGCGGAAUUCCGACGUGUAGCGGUGAAAUGCGUAGAGAUGUGGAGGAACACCAGUGGCGAAGGCGGCUUUCUGGUCUGUAACUGACGCUGAGGCGCGAAAGCGUGGGGGAGCAAACAGGAUUAGAUACCCUGGUAGUCCACGCCGUAAACGAUGAGUGCUAAGUGUUAGGGGGUUUCCGCCCCUUAGUGCUGCAGCUAACGCAUUAAGCACUCCGCCUGGGAGUACGGCCGCAAGGCUG
rnacentral:rRNA from 1 species